rfam:Ictidomys tridecemlineatus contig101585, whole genome shotgun sequence.
UGGGGUGUAGUUCAAUGGUAGACCAUGUGCUUGGCAUGCAAAAGGCCCUGGGUUCAAGCCCAAGCAUCCAAA